GACCUUUGGAGAACCACACCCCAAAAGCUAGCUAUUGAGGUUGAAAAGCCUACGUCCAUAUAAACCCCACUAGGAACCCCCUUACUUUCCUAUAUGGGACCCAAGUCUCAUACCUUGCAAUUGGCACAUAACAAUCCACCACACUCCACAGUCUCGGUGUCCAUGCGGGCUAGCUUUGCGCUAGCUUAAUCUAACCCCGGGUGAACAUUGCAAUGUGGGUUUUUUUAGAACUUUUCGUUGAUCCUUUCACCCCCUAUUUCCCUCACUGACAGUGACAUUCGUAUCGGUCUUGGACCCAUCAUUCUUGAUCCCAUAAAUCAAGAGCCUAAACUUGAGUCUAAAUCUAGGAAAAAUAUUCCCAAA
rnacentral:lncRNA from 1 species